UUGAAAAUAGUGCCCCAGGGGAGUUAUGGAUUCAAAAUGGAGACUUUCUGCUUUAGUGGACACUAUAACUGAUGGGAAUGGACCAAAUCGCUUAGGUUGAUGGAACAGAAAAACAAAUUGUGAAUUACCGGCACAUUUCAUAAACACCUAGAGAUAAAGAAGGAAUCAUGAGGGCACAACGUGAUUUAACUUUUAAUAAAAAGUCAGACCAAGCCUCUCACUUCCUUUGUACACUAACAGACUGCUAGGCCAGGAGAGCUGGGCAAGCACAGUGAUUUUGUUUUGUGGAGAAGGAGAGAGGGAGCUGUCCAGAAAGAGGAAGAAAGAUGAUUGAGUAAUAUUAAGGGUCUAACUGAUGUUGAAAGUCACAGAUGGUGCUGAUCUGCACUCUUGGGUAAUGUCCUCCCUCAGUUCUGAAUAGCAAGAAUAUUAGGGUCAGAAAAUGUGUUAUUCACACCGACUCUUCUUUGGAGAUCUGCCUGGUGUGUAUGGCAGACAGAUCCGGGGACAAAGACCUUGACGUUCUCAGCGAGAGGACUGACGUGAUGAGCCUGGCACACAAGGUUAACUGAGAAGACAAAGGGCAUGAGGAGGAGACGGGGAUAGUGAAAUCACUGGCGGACACAUGCAGACCAGCAGCUGCAGUCCUGCUGGAGAGAAGAGCUGGUUGGGAGAAAUCACGGCCUGGGUGACAUGGCGGGGCGAAGGAGCUGUCAGUGAAAGAGAAAGCUUGGAUACCACAUACGGAAAUGACAGAAGUGGCGUAUGAACCUGGCUUAACUAGCACGUAAAGAGUAUUAUUCCUUUAAAGACCUGCUGGAUUUAUUUAGGUUAGCACUCCAAGGAAGGAAACAUGUAUUCAUCUCUGUAACCCCCCUGUAGAGCCAAGUUACAUGCUGGGACUGUAGAAACAAGAGGACCAGUAGGGAACACUGCCAUGGCCACCUUCCAGGGCGACUUGUCCGACCCCCAAGGAUCCUCUUGUUCAUUCGGGCAGCAGGGCGACGCCCACAGUCUACCAAGGAGCAGAAAAGACAGUGUGUGAUUCACUGCCAAGCCCAGCGCCAUCCUGGGAUCUUUGCUGUUAUGUGCAAGGUACUGUUUUUCCCCUAAGCCAACCCAGUUCCAUUAAGUUCAUAUUCCAUGGCUACACCACUAAUUCUCUCACCUUGUUUAGUACACAGAAGAGAAAUCUUACUUCUGCUAUGACAAGCCUGCCUAGAUUUGGAAACAUAAAAUGGCAUAAUGUUAAGUUACAGAUUUAUCAUCCACUUCAAAUACUUUACCAGUGAAAAGCAAGACACGGGUUCAACCGUUACCAGAGGUCACAUUCUUUGAGUAACGAUUAUCUAUGCUUCGUGCAGAAAUUCUUGAGGCAGGGCUGUUGUCAAAUAUCACCUUGGAGGGGCGCCUGGGUGGCACAGCGGUUAAGUGUCUGCCUUCAGCUCAGGGCGUGAUCCCGGCGUUAAGGGAUCGAGCCCCACAUCAGGCUCCUCCGCUAUGAGCCUGCUUCUUCCUCUCCCACUCCCCCUGCUUGUGUUCCCUCUCUCACUGGCUGUCUCUACAUCUGUCGAAUAAAUGAAUAAAAUCUUUAAAAAUAUAUAUAUAUCACCUUGGAAACAAGGGUAUAUGGAGGAUGUGUACCUUUUUUUUUUUUAGCUUAUUUAAUAUCAUCAUGAUAUAAUUUCACAUGGGUGGGAAAAGAAACUACUGUUAGCAAAGUUUCCUACAUUAUCGUGGCUGGUGGCACCCCCCCCCCAAAAGAUUGACUCAAACCAUGAUUUUCAAAGUAGGGAGAGGAAGACGGGAGAAUUGGGCUACUUCUUAGAAUCUAUGGUGGGAAAGGAGCAUGUCAGAUUUUUAUGCUUACAGAGAGGGUGUUGGAUGUCCAAGAGAAGUUGCAAAUAGUUUGAGAGAAAUAAAACAUUGCUUCAAAAAGUUAGAGAACAGAUAAAGGAACUAAAUUUUUAGACUGGAAAAGAAUCUUGACGAGAUUAUUAUUAUUAUUCAUGUAACUCUUGAUGGUGGGGUCAGUAGAACUUAACAAGAAGUAAGUUCAGGAAAGAAAGACCUUUCUAAAAAUCAUAGUUAAUCUUUAAAGGUAAGAACAUGGACCAUUUUAAACAUCUAUCAAUGUGGCGCACAAGAGAAUUCAUUUUAGGGUACAUUAAAUUUUAAUCACAAAGUUCCCUUCCAAGCACAAAGCAUUUAUUCACAGUAUAAAUUUUAAAAGCAAAAGACACUUUGGGACUGUCAAAAAUACCAUGAUGCGCUUAGAAUCCCAGACUUCUCAGGAAAAAAAACAAUCCCUAAAUAUGUCAUAUCCACAUUCUUUUUUGAGAAUUUAUUGUAUUUUCAUUUCUUGCUAAAUCUGCAUGCGGACAUGUGUAAUUAUUUGUAUCAAUAAAUUAUAUAAUACAGAAAAAA